AUUGAACGCUGGCGGCAGGCCUAACACAUGCAAGUCGAGCGGUAGAGAGAAGCUUGCUUCUCUUGAGAGCGGCGGACGGGUGAGUAAUGCCUAGGAAUCUGCCUGGUAGUGGGGGAUAACGUUCGGAAACGAACGCUAAUACCGCAUACGUCCUACGGGAGAAAGCGGGGGAUCUUCGGACCUCGCGCCAUUAGAUGAGCCUAGGUCGGAUUAGCUAGUUGGUGAGGUAAUGGCUCACCAAGGCGACGAUCCGUAACUGGUCUGAGAGGACGACCAGCCACACUGGGACUGAGACACGGCCCAGACUCCUACGGGAGGCAGCAGUGGGGAAUUUUGGACAAUGGGCGCAAGCCUGAUCCAGCAAUGCCGCGUGCAGGAUGAAGGCCUUCGGGUUGU
rnacentral:rRNA from 1 species